rnacentral:rRNA from 1 species
CAAUGCGAGUCGUACGGGGUAUCUUCGGAUGCUCAGUGGCGGCCGGGUGCGUAACACGUGGGUGACCCACCUUGAUCUGGGGGAUACCCGCCCGAAAGGGUGGCUAAUACCGCAUGCCUUCUCGUCUCAUGUGACGAGAGGAAAGCUUUCCCGCAAGGGAGAGCGGAUUGAGACGGGCCCGCGGCCUAUCAGCUUGUCGGUGGGGUAAUGGCCUACCGAGGCAUCGACGGGUAGCCGGUCUGAGAGGACGGACGGCCACAGUGGGACUGGGAUAUGGUCCACAGCCCUACGGGGUUUAGCAUGGAGGAAUCUUGCGCAACGGGCGAGAGCUCGGCGCAGCAACGCCGCGUGGGGGGAGGAAGGCUUUCGGGUCGUAAACCCCUGUUGUUCGGGAAGAAGUACUGUCGGGGAGAUCCCGGCAGGAAGACGGUACCGGGCGAGGAAGCAUCGGCUAACUACGUGCCAGCAGCCGCGGUAAUACGUAGGAUGCAAGCGUUAUCCGGAUUUAUUGGGCGUAAAGCGCGCGCAGGCGGCACUCAGUAGUGGCGCGUGGAAUCUCCCGGCUUACCCGGGAGGGGCCGUGCCAAACGGGGGUGCUUGAGGCAGGUAGAGGAUCGCGGAACGGGCGGAGUAGGGGUGAAAUCCGUAGAGACCGUCCGGAACACCAGUGGCGAAGGCGGCGAUCUGGACCUGUCCUGACGCUCAGGCGCGAAAGCGUGGGGAGCGAACGGAAUUAGAUACUCCGGUAGUCCACGCCCUAAACGAUGAUCACUCGGUGUUAGGGGGGUAUCGACCCCCCCUGCGCCCCAACUAACGCGGUAAGUGAUCCGCCUGGGGACUACGGCCGC